AGGCAAUUAAGUGAAAAGUCAUUUUUCAGUUGAGGUAUUUUUUGCCGCUUUGAAAGUCCUUCAUACACUUCAUGUUCUGACAGCAGCAGUGGGCUAUUUACCUUUUUUCUCUUAUGUUUGACUUUUCUGUUCACUCAUUUUUCAAUACAUUUGCAGUGGCCUUUAUUAUAAAUGAAUGUCUUGUGAGCCGAUCUCUGUGGGGAAUGUGGGCUUUUUUGUACCCUGCAAGGCAUUCAUUCCUACUACAGACCACCGCAAAUGCAUUGAUUAAAAAUGUUGGAUUAAACAAGUAACGCACACCUUAAAGUUCCCUGUUCAUGCCUUUCAUUAACACUAUGCCCACUCUGUCCCCGAAAUUGGGGUUAAAACUAAAAAACAGAUGGAUGUCCUACGAUCAUCUACCUUUUAAAAGCUUUGUUAGAAUCACAUUUUUUCCUUCGUCGUUACAAAAUCAGGAGAUUAAAAAUUAACUGUUUCAUUCUCUUGCUAGUCGUUAUUUUUCUUUUUUUUUUUUUAUUAGCAACCUUUGCCAAUGCUGGUUGGGGUCACAAGUUCCUGGAGCUGUUAUUUUGUGGAUUCUUUAUUGUGUGAGAUUUUUUAUCUCAUCACACCAUAAACAACUCCUGUUGGCUGUUUUUUUUUUUCUUUUCUCACUUGUGGUUGCAAAGAGCCUUGUAGUGAUAUCUCAAAUGGCUUUUUGGAGCUCUACCCAACCUGACAAGUUUAAAAGCAAAGCAUUACAAGAGCUUUGGUAGAGAAAGAAAAAGAUUAUGACUCUGUGAAACAUUUUUGGAGACUGAUGAGUUGUUUGAUCCAUAACCUGCUCCAUCCAUUUACGAGUAUGUGGUACACCUGUUACAACCGGAUGAGGGAGUGCCAUGCACCAGGAGGCUUGCACUCUCGCUGUAGACGCUUGCAGUUCUGGUCAAUUUUAAAGGUUUCUGUUAUGGAAAUUUUGCCCAAAUGAGCAGACCAUGUGAUCAAUGUUCUGUAACUCAACAUGGAGCAGAGCUUUGUAAUCAUGUGUGACAAAAAUCACAAGGACUAUCGAAGCCCUGAAGCAAGAGGGCAGUGUGCGUGCGUGCAUGUGUACGAGUGUGUUGUGUGUGUGUGCGUGCAUGUGUAUGAGUGUGUGUAUCAGUGUGUAAGUGUGGACAGUUGAUGACAAAUCAGUCCUACUCCGUUUGCAGCAUUUAUCAGCAGUGGUCAAGUGGGCAGGUCUGAUUGGCUUUUUCUUUUUGUAGCUUUUAUUUGAAGCCAGAGAUAAUCGCCGGCAGCAAUUACAGGAUUUUAUCAGAGCAGGACUCAGUUACUCCCCCCACUGCCAGGACAAAUUAAAAGAAACACCCGCCUAAUGAUUUGCCUGCCAUCCUUUUUGCUGAAGAGUUUCCUGUGUGGGAUAGGAUGAUAUCUGUAUGUAAAUUGUUUUUAAAAAGACCCAUUUCUACCUAUAAUGCUAGAAAAUGUUCAAUAAAGCAAUGUGCUUAAUAUAUUUAGACUUUUUUCCAAAAUAAUGAAAUGUAAUCUUAGCAUUUGUUAAAAAAUCUGGUUUGUGCAUUUGUUCUUAUUUAGUCUAUCAAAAUUCCGUAAACUCAUCUCAAACUAGAUCUAAUUUAAAUAAUCAAAAAAUAAAUAAAUUAGUUGCAAGACACUGAUGACUAGUUGAGUGGUUUUCCUGUAACCACAAAGUAUUUCCAUAAAAGUGGGGUUGUGUUUGUUUUGGCUCCUGUUUGUUCACCCCGCUGUGUGCAAUCAGAGUUGACAUGUCAGUCAGUGACAGCAAACUCUUUGUGUCAUUUUAAAACAACGAUGAUCCACAGAUGCUUCCAUUUCAAUAACUGAUUUAAAAUCUGAAAACCUUCUCUUGUAGCCGUCAGACGGAAAACUGUUGCAGUUUAGCUUCGGUUUAGGCAGCAAAAAGAUGCAGCCUGACAUAUCAGAGUUUAUCUGCAUUGCCUGACAUUAUACACUCUUUGAUGUGACAAUUGCAUGCAAAUGUGCAUGACAUAAUGUUACACACA
rnacentral:lncRNA from 1 species